rnacentral:rRNA from 1 species
UACGUAGGGAGCAAGCGUUGUCCGGAAUCAUUGGGCGUAAAGCGCGCGUAGGUGGCUCUGUAAGUCCGUUGUGAAAGUCAAAGGCUCAACCUUUGAAAGCCGAUGGAUACUGCAGAGCUAGAGUACGGAAGAGGCGAGUGGAAUUCCUGGUGUAGCGGUGGAAUGCGCAGAUAUCAGGAGGAACACCAAUAGCGAAGGCAGCUCGCUGGGACGUUACUGACACUGAGGCGCGAAAGCGUGGGGAGCGAUCCGG